AUUGCACAGUCACUUUGGAAAACACUGAAGAUGAACCAGCACUUCUACUCCUAGAUAUGUGCUUUAAGAGAAAUGAAAAUGUAGGUCGAUACAAGGGCUUUCAUACAACUGGUCAGCAGCAUUGCUCCUCACACCUAAAAAUGAAACUCUAAAUGUCCAACUGAAAUGGAUAAGUGAAAUGUGGUGUAUUCUGUCCAUACAGGUAAUUAUUGUUCAGCAGUAAGGAGCCAUACUAUCCUCCACGGUCUCUUCAUAGAACUUCAGGAGUUGACAUCUCUGGACCUGUCAGGUUUCAUGUGUGUUCCCCAUUCCCUGAAUGACUUAGCCAAGUCCUACUCGUUCUAUGUUUUCUUCUGUAAAUACUUUAGAGUGCUGGGUUAUUUUCUGAGGAUUGCUUACAUUCCGUUGUGUGUACCAUAAUGGGUCAUUAAUAGUUCAUUGUUGGUCAGGGAGGUUUGUUCUUCUGUACUGCUUUGGUGAACCAUCCCGCAGCAGGGAAGCCUGUGUGUGUGUAUCCUCCUGAGCAACCAUGUUUCAAUUGAAUUCCAUGACCCAGAGCAAUAUGUUGUCUGAAAAAUUGUGUAGCAGAUUUUUAUUAUUAUUUUUUAAAUACUUUAAAACAUAUUCUAAAAAAGUUUAACAUAAUACAUACUCUCAGAUCUUAGGGUGAGAAAAGCCGGGGACUGCUUCUACACUGGGAAUGACAAUGAGGGCGAGGGUGUUGCCAUAUCCCUAGGGAGGGGUCCCCAGAGUUCUGGCUUCUCUCUAACAGAGCAUCUUGUAUGCAGGCCCAGCAGCCAGCACACAGGAUGGACCGGGUAGACUGUGGUGCUGUGGGAGCCCCAGGUAAGGGGAAGAACCCAGCCAGGGGCCAAGGGUUACAGCGGGUUUUGCAUGCACAGAGUAUGGGGAAGCAAGACAGGCUGGGGUGGAGUCAGAUAGUGAGUCAGAUUGGAGGAGCAGGAGGAGUCUAUGAUGGAGUUUUGAGGAAAAAUUAGAAGUUAGAUGAAGGGGGAGGCUCUGUGUAGAAGGUUGAAAGUAUGAAAUAGCAAGACUUAAACCUUACAUCACUUCUGAGAAUAGAUUUUAGUUUAACUUCCUUAUUGGCAGGCAUACUUCGAAACUGACCCUAGGGUGCUGUAGGUUACCUGAGGCCACUGAGGUAAUUGUUGAGUGAACCUAGCCAACCUGGGCUGGCCUGCUUUACCCUGGAGGGGCUCCCUCUCCAUUUGCAGCCAGCUCCCUGGGGGCUCAUGUUAGGCUUCUGCCCUCGAUGGCUAGGUGUCCUUUUACUUAUGCUGGCAUUUACCAGGUGGAUUCCUGUUCACUCAAGGGUGUUGAUUGGCGCUUGGGCUGGUGCCCCCCCACCUCAGUCCCCCAGGACUUCCCUGGACUCUAGCACUCCAGGCAGCACCUCUGCACCCUGUUUUCCCUCAAAACUCUGGUGAAUCUCCUGCUGCCUCACUUGACUACAUCCUAAGAGAUCCACACACGUGCUCAGACAUGUGCAUGGCUGCUUCCAUUCAACCUUGGGUGUUUCACAGAACCUGCCCAAAGUUUAAAUGAUAGUGUGGGCCAAUAAAAAUACCAGGAGGGCCUGAAGAAGAGCUGGGAUAGGUAGAAGGUAAAUAUCACUGGCCAUGAUGAAAAAGGAGCUAAUUUUCCUUCCUUGACAUGGUGAGAGCAAAGCAAAUGAUCACAUCUCCUGAUUGUAGCUGGGAAAGUAGGUGGGAUUUGGACCUAAUUGCUUUAUUUUAAAGUUGACCUUAUUGUGCUUGAAUUUUAUUUCGGGUAACUUUUGAGAAAGUGUUUCUUUCUCAUGAUAUAUUUGUACAGUAUUCAAACUAGUUCAUCUGUUUUCUAGCAGUCAGACCAAUUAGGACAAAGCUGUGUUCUCCAUGUUUGAAUCAAGAAACUAGUGUACAGUUAGUGUAUGACAGAGUUCAGACUUAUGGCCUCAGGUGCUGAUUAGGAGUUCUUGCUUGUGGCCUGAGAAACAUUUGAUUGCUAUUGUUUAACCAGAUGAGAUGUAUUAGAAGAAUUCAGAGCAGGCACAGUGUUUUUCUUCCUCCUAGAAGUUUGUGUGUUUUGGGCAGAUGACCUUACAAACACUGAUAAGGAUGCUAGUGAAAUAAGUCUGUUUUGUAUUUACAGGUCAGAUGGAUUCUGGAUGAAAUGAAAGGGGAAGAAGAUAAGGUUUUUUCUCUCAUCUUUCUCCUUUUUCUCUUCCCCUACUCCUUUGCAUCUCUUCUUUCCUUUAAAAAGUUAUUAACUCAGUAAUUAACUCUGGCUGGUGCAGGGCGAGCAACUGCCCUACAUGUCUGGACACUUUGUUCUUACGAGCUGAACACCAAGCCUAGGCACAUGUUAGCUGUUUGUUUUCAAACUCAUUGAUGCCAACUGUACUUUUACCAUCAGUGUAUAAUUUCAGUAAAUAUUGUCUGAGUGUUUUAAUAUAUGAGUAGGGAGAAACGUAUUUCUGUAAAAGCUAAAUUUGAAUGAUUUGGGGAGACUUGACAAAGGCAGUAAACUUAAAACAAGCUACCAAAAUAAGUUCGGGGGAGACAGUUGUAAAGAGGCAGGAAAGAUUUUGUAAACAUGAUUUUGUUUUUUGCAGAGUAUGUCUGUUUCUAGCUCCACUUUAAGAUGAAUACCGGAAGUGGCAUAUUAGGGUUUACACAAGUAAGACAGUGAGAAACUCCGGUCCAAGAAUUCAUACUCCACAAAAAGACCCAGGUACUGCCCCAGUUGAGACUGACAGCAAGGGACAGUUGGUUAAAGUACAAUUAAGCCACAAGCCUGUGUCUAGCAGGGAAGAGUAAUAUUUAAUGUAUCUUUUUUUUUCUUUUUCAUUUUUUUAUUAGUACAUAUCUGUAAUAUGUAAUGAUUUUAUUCAUAUAUAAUCAUUGGAGUUGGUACAUGUACAUAGCACAUCGUGAUUCUUUUUUCUAACCCCCCAUGUGUGUCUUUCUGCCGAUUGUUUUAACUGACUUAGUUAAAAUUACCUAACUAAGCUAGUAGUGAUUACUUGGAGGAAGUGGGCUGUAACCAUGAUUGUGCUCCUACUAUAGACUGCCGAGUUCCUUGCGCUUUAAAUUGCCCAUGGUUAGAAAGCUACUGAGGCCAAGUAGAUUGGCC
rnacentral:lncRNA from 1 species